UAUCUCUCCGUACGGGGAAGGAUGAGAAGCUUCGACUAAGGUUCGAUUCGAGCGCUGCGAGAUAGCGUUGCCGCAG
rnacentral:sRNA from 1 species